rnacentral:rRNA from 1 species
AGAAUAUACUGUAGUAAAGGAACUUGACAAGUAUUUUAUUAUACUCUACCUAAUGCAUUUAAUACUU